rnacentral:rRNA from 1 species
GGUUGAUCCUGCCGGACCUGACUGCUAUCGGAUUGAUACUAAGCCAUGCGAGUCUUUGCAGUAAUGCAAGGCAUACGGCUCAGUAACACGUAGUCAACUUACCCUAUGGACGAGGAUAAUCUCGGGAAACUGAGCAUAAUACUCGAUAGAUCAUAAUGCCUGGAAUGGUUUAUGGUUAAAAUGAUUCGUCGCCAUAGGAUGGGACUGCGGCCUAUCAGCUUGUUGGUGAGGUAAUGGCCCACCAAGGCGAUUACAGGUACGGGCUCUGAGAGGAGAAGCCCGGAGAUGGGUACUGAGACAAGGACCCAGGCCCUAUGGGGCGCAGCAGGCGAGAAAACUUUGCAAUGUGCGAAAGCACGACAAGGUUAGUCCGAGUGAUUUCUGCUAAAGAGAUCUUUUGCUAGUUAUAAAACCACUAGUGAAUAAGGGGUGGGCAAGUUCUGGUGUCAGCCGCCGCGGUAAAACCAGCACCUCAAGUGGUCAGGAUGAUUAUUGGGCCUAAAGCAUCCGUAGCCGGCUCUGUAAGUUUUCGGUUAAAUCUAUACGCUCAACGUAUGGGCUGCCGAAAAUACUGUAGAGAUAGGGAGUGGGAGAGGUAGACGGUACUCGGUAGGAAGGGGUAAAAUCCUUUGAUCUAUCGAUGACCACCUGUGGCGAAGGCGGUCUACCAGAACACGUUCGACGGUGAGGGAUGAAAGCUGGGGGAGCAAACCGGAUUAGAUACCCGGGUAGUCCCAGCUGUAAACGAUGCAGACUCGAUGAUGCAUUGGCAUAUAGCCAGUGCAGUGUCGCAGGGAAGCCGUUAAGUCUGCCGCCUGGGAAGUACGUACGCAAGUAUGAAACUUAAAGGAAUUGGCGGGGGAGCACCACAAGGGGUGAAGCCUGCGGUUCAAUUGGAUUCAACGCCGGG